AUUGAACGCUGGCGGCAGGCUUAACACAUGCAAGUCGAGCGGAGAUGAGGUGCUUGCACCUUAUCUUAGCGGCGGACGGGUGAGUAAUGCUUAGGAAUCUGCCUAUUAGUGGGGGACAACAUUCCGAAAGGAAUGCUAAUACCGCAUACGUCCUACGGGAGAAAGCAGGGGAUCUUCGGACCUUGCGCUAAUAGAUGAGCCUAAGUCGGAUUAGCUAGUUGGUGGGGUAAAGGCCUACCAAGGCGACGAUCUGUAGCGGGUCUGAGAGGAUGAUCCGCCACACUGGGACUGAGACACGGCCCAGACUCCUACGGGAGGCAGCAGUGGGGAAUAUUGGACAAUGGGGGGAACCCUGAUCCAGCCAUGCCGCGUGUGUGAAGAAGGCCUUCGGGUUGUAAAGCACUUUCAGCGAGGAGGAAGGGUUAGUCGUUAAUAGCGGCUAAUUUUGACGUUACUCGCAGAAGAAGCACCGGCUAACUCUGUGCCAGCCGCCGCGGUAAUAC
rnacentral:rRNA from 1 species